GUCAUAUGCUUGUCUCAAAGAUUAAGCCAUGCAUGUCUCAGUACAAGCCAAAWUAAGGUGAAACCGCGAAAGGCUCAUUAAAUCAGUUAUGGUUCCUUAGAUCGUACCCACAAUUACUUGGAUAACUGUGGUAAUUCUAGAGCUAAUACAUGCAAACAGAGCUCCGACCGGAGACGGAAGGAGUGCUUUUAUUAGAACAAAACCAAUCGGUGGCGGGUUCGCUCGUCAUCGUACAACUUGGUGAUUCUGAAUAACUUUAGGCUGAUCGCACGGUCAUCGCACCGGCGACGCAUCUUUCAAAUGUCUGCCUUAUCAACUGUCGAUGGUAGGUUCUGCGCCUACCAUGGUUGUAACGGGUAACGGGGAAUCAGGGUUCGAUUCCGGAGAGGGAGCCUGAGAAACGGCUACCACAUCCAAGGAAGGCAGCAGGCGCGCAAAUUACCCACUCCCGGCACGGGGAGGUAGUGACGAAAAAUAACGAUACGGGACUCAUCCGAGGCCCCGUAAUCGGAAUGAGUACACUCUAAACCCUUUAACGAGGAUCAAUUGGAGGGCAAGUCUGGUGCC
rnacentral:rRNA from 1 species